CAAUAGCGUAUAUUAAAGUUGCUGCAGUUAAAAAGCUCGUAGUUGCAUUUCCGAGGCAAGGGAUUAGUCCGACCUUUGGUGGGUAUUUAAUCCUCUUGCCUCGUCCUUGAGUGGUGCUUCUUGGUAUUAAGUUAUCGAGGAGAUAGCCGCUCAUCGUUUACUGUGAGAAAAUUAGAGUGUUCAAAGCAGGCUUAUGCCGUUGAAUAUAUUAGCAUGGAAUAAUAAGAUAGGACCUCGGUACUAUUUUGUUGGUUUGAGAACCAAGGUAAUGAUGAAUAGGGACAGUUGGGGGUAUUCGUAUUCAGUUGUCAGAGGUGAAAUUCUUAGAUUUACGGAAGACGAACUACUGCGAAGGCAUUUACCAAGGAUGUUUUCAUUAA
rnacentral:rRNA from 1 species